rnacentral:sRNA from 1 species
UUUUAGCCCGGAUCGUAGCGGCAUCCUUUUCUUGCCUCCUUUAGGCAAGAAAAGAUAUAGCGGACAGCCGGAAAUAGC